GGUGAACGCUGGCGGCAGGCCUAACACAUGCAAGUCGAACGGCAGCACAGCAGUAGCAAUACUGUGGGUGGCGAGUGGCGGACGGGUGAGGAAUACAUCGGAAUCUGCCUAGUCGUGGGGGAUAACGUAGGGAAACUUACGCUAAUACCGCAUACGACCUACGGGUGAAAGCGGGGGAUCGCAAGACCUCGCGCGAUUAGAUGAGCCGAUGUCCGAUUAGCUAGUUGGCGGGGUAAUGGCCCACCAAGGCGACGAUCGGUAGCUGGUCUGAGAGGAUGAUCAGCCACACUGGAACUGAGACACGGUCCAGACUCCUACGGGAGGCAGCAGUGGGGGAAUAUUGCGCAAUGGGCGAAAGCCUGACGCAGCGACGCCGCGUGGGUGAUGAAGGCCU
rnacentral:rRNA from 1 species